GGUAGAUUGUAACAUCUUUACUUAAAGCAUUGAUCCUUCAUGCCUGCUGGGUCAUGAGCUGCUUUGAGACUGCUGAAAACUAUGGAUACUUUCUCCAGAAAAGUUCACUUACUUAUCCCAUAUUUGCAUAAAAUUCCAUUAGGCUUAUGAAGAUGUGUAAGCCCCAGUACUGGCAGUAAACUUUUAUGUGUAUGGGUGCCUCUUCCCCUAGGCAGUAGCCAUUCCAAAAUGCCAAUAUUGUUACUAUUUAAAAUUUUCUUUCAGUUAUAGGCUGGGAGGAACCAUUGAAAAGGCUUGGCAGGUGAGAUUCAGGUGGCUAGACCGGUUAGGUAACUCAGCUUUGAGCCAUAAUCUCAUCCGGGGUCAGACCUGUUGGGAAACUGAGCUCUCCAUUUGUUCCCUGACCCUUAGUGGCUCUCUCAGUCCUCAGCCCUUUGUCUGUUUCUCUGGGGUGGAGAUGUAGUCUUACUCAUGCUAUCAUUGUCUCUAGAGCCAAGACUCUGACCAGUAAAAUCCCACCUGGGAACUAGAUUCCUUCUGCCAAUGGAGAGACUUUUUAAAAUGCUCACUACAUGCUGUCAAGAAUUGGGCAUUUUGUGCAGCACCUGGAUUCCCCAUCAUUGUGCUCCUGCUACACCCAGGAGCAAACAUUAUCUUCCCCCUGCCCCUCCCCUUGAACCUGACUGCUGCCUCUUUAUACCUUGACUGUCCCCUGCAGCAGCUUCACCAAGUGGAUACUUUAUUUUUGACCCAGUUAGUUUUGCCUUUAUUGGUAAUAAUAAUGAUAGCUGCCAUUUAUCAAGGUCUUACUUUGUGCUAGGUGGUAUGGUAAGCUCUUUGCAUACAACGUCUCAUUGAAUUCCUGGUAUAGAUUUUGUUUUACACAUAAGGAAUAAGACAAGCGAAGGAAGUCAUCCAUUUUCUUGGGAUUUGAAUCCAGGUCUCUGUUCUAGCACCAUAGCUCUUAACCAUACUUCCCUCAAGAUGUUCUUCCUGUGCUUUUCCCAGGAGUUUGUUGAUAUUUCA
rnacentral:lncRNA from 10 species